rnacentral:rRNA from 1 species
UAGGGAAUUUUCGGCAAUGGGGGCAACCCUGACCGAGCAACGCCGCGUGAGUGAAGAAUGCCUUCGGGUUGUAAAGCUCUGUUGUAAGGGAAGAAAAGUAUCAAGAGGCAAUGCUUGAUGCGUGACGGUACCUUACCAGAAAGCCACGGCUAACUACGUGCCAGCAGCCGCGGUAAUACGUAGGUGGCAAGCGUUAUCCGGAAUUAUUGGGCGUAAAGGGAGCGUAGGCGGUCAUGCAAGUCUAUGGUAAAAGUUCGGGGCUUAACCCCGUCCGGCCAUAGAAACUGUAUGACUUGAGUACAGGAGAGGUUAGCGGAAUUCCAUGUGUAGCGGUAAAAUGCGUAGAUAUAUGGAGGAACACCAGUGGCGAAGGCGGCUAACUGGCCUGUAACUGACGCUA